CUAUCCAAAUCUCAUCCAAAAAUUCCAUAAAUCACAUCAAUAUACUCCCCUUAAUAUUCCACACUUAAACCCUAAAAAUCUCUUAACCGGCGGCGGCUCCGCCGGCAGCGGCGGCCGGAGGCCAAUUCCGGCGACCUCCAAAACCUAUGAAAUUUUGACAGAAUAAUCUCCUCAUCAUGCUCUACAACUUUCCUGACCAACACAUCACCCAAUUCCAAGCCUAACUAGGCUAAUCAAACAAAAACAUCCUAAAAGCCCUAGAAAUUUCAACUCCACAUUUCUCCUUAAUUACCUAGCUCAAGAGGGAGUGAGCUGAUUGGAGGGGUUGCUGCACGGGAGAAGGGCUACAAAACCGUACCAAGCUUGCCCGGAUUGGUGGCCGGAGGAGGGAGUUCCGGCGGCCGGAAGUUCGGGGCAGCCUAGCCUUUCGGGCGGCACCGCUCUCUCACGGCGGCGCUAGGGGGGCUGUCACCGGUCCUGGAAGAUAGCUGGGUUGGAGACCGAUCGAUUGGGACCGGUGCGGCAGUCUGGGGCGGCCGGACGGCGGUGGACGGGCGGUCGGAAUUCCGGCAGGGAGAGGUUCGGGUGUGGGAGCGGGAGAGGAGAGAGAGAAUCAGGAGGGAGAGAGAGAAUCAGGAGGGAGAGAGAGAAUCAGGAGGGAGAGAGAGAUUUUUGGGCUUAGCCCAACCGGUUCCAACCCACAUAUACCCAAUCCAAAUUUCAACACCCCAAAAAUAAUACCCCAAUAAAAAUUACCUUUUACUAGCAAAAAUUUACCAUUUUUACCGUCGUCAUAUUUUCUCCCACGAAUAAUCCUCAGCACUAAAAUCGACCCUGAAACCCCUCUAGGGACCAAUUAAGCUAUUAACUCAAUGAUCGAGACGGUAAAAUUCUUAUUAUAAUCAAGCUAGUAAAUAAGGUAAAAAUAUAAGGGUCGGGAUGUGACACAAGGUGAGUUUCAUAAGUUAAAGCUGCUAGUGUUUAAAAUGAGCACAGAUCCAAUGGUUGUUGCAGAAUGGGUGCGAC
rnacentral:lncRNA from 1 species